rnacentral:rRNA from 1 species
AUUGAACGCUGGCGGCGUGCUUAACACAUGCAAGUCGAACGAGAACGGGUUAUAGCUUGCUAUAAUUGUCAGCUAAGUGGCGCACGGGUGAGUAAUGUAUAGGUAAUAUGCCUCUUACUAAGGGAUAACAAAUGGAAACGUUUGCUAAUACCUUAUACUCCUUAUUAACAGAAGUUAAUAAGGGAAAGAUUUAGUGGUAAGAGAUUAGCCUGUAUUGUAUCAGUUAGUUGGUGGGGUAAUGGCUUACCAAGACUAUGACACAUAACUGGUUUGAGAGGAUGAUCAGUCACACUGGAACUGAGACACGGUCCAGACUCCUACGGGAGGCAGCAGUGGUGAAUAUUGCACAAUGGACGAAAGUCUGAUGCAGCAACGCCGCGUGGAGGAUGACACAUUUCGGUGCGUAAACUCCUUUUAUAUAAGAAGAUAAUGACGGUAUUAUAUGAAUAAGCACCGGCUAACUCCGUGCCAGCAGCCGCCGUAA